rnacentral:rRNA from 1 species
ACGAACGCUGGCGGCGUGCUUAACACCUGCCAGUCGCACGGUAAGGCCCUUUCGGGGGUACACGAGUGGCGAACGGGUGAGUAACACGUGGGUGAUCUGCCCUGCACUUUGGGAUAAGCCUGGGAAACUGGGUCUAAUACCGGAUAGGACUACGCGAUGCAUGUCGUGUGGUGGAAAGCUUUUGCGGUGUGGGAUGGGCCCGCGGCCUAUCAGCUUGUUGGUGGGGUGAUGGCCUACCAAGGCGACGACGGGGAGCCGGCCUGAGAGGGUGUCCGGCCACACUGGGACUGAGAUACGGCCCAGACUCCUACGGGAGGCAGCAGUGGGGAAUAUUGCACAAUGGGCGCAAGCCUGAUGCAGCGACGCCGCGUGGGGGAUGACGGCCUUCGGGUUGUAAACCCCUUUCAGCACAGACGAAGCGUAAGUGACGGUAGGUGCAGAAGAAGCACCGGCCAACUACGUG